UAAUUAUUUACUGGCUAUCACUACUUUUGCGUCGAUUGUCCUCUAACGAGUAUCUAACUGCGAUAAGUAAAUUAAAUCUUAUUAAAAAAUGUCCAAGUUCAUUUUUUUUUUAAUAUGUAUGACUGCAUUGUCUGCUAUUGGAAAUUGUGAAGAUCUCCAAGGGUGCCCAGAUUGUGUAGGCCAUGCUGAGUCUUGUAUAGACAGGCCAUGCUGCCUUGAUUAUACUUGCCGCGACAAUGCUUUUGGCGAACGAAAAUGUUCCAGUGACCACCAUCGUCGUUAUUAUAAAUGGGACUAAUCAUUACUUCUAUUGAUUUAACCUUAAAUGAAUAGUAAAAUUGUCCUUUUUCUCUAUCAGAAUAAGAAUAAAUUUUUUAUGAAUAAAAAUUAUUACCUUACCAAGACAAAUGUUAUAUCAUUCAGGAUACAGAAAUUCUUCUUCGAA